rnacentral:misc_RNA from 1 species
ACCAAACAUGCUUGAGGAUUUAGAAGCCACAGGACAACAGGGGUUUCAUUCCAAAUAUCCACCAACUAAAUCUGAAUUCAUUAUUAUAACUGCUGCUAAAAGUAGCAUUAUUAUAACCUAAACAUUUCAAUAAAUGUGAAACCAUUACAUGCCCUAUGCUUGUUCAAUUUAAAGCAAAGAUAACUUCAGAUUCAAUAGAGGGUCAAACACUCAAGUGCCUACAAUGGCCCAGUUCUUAGUGCAUGGUCUAAAUCAGAAAUCAGAUCAUUGACGUCUUCUAUCCCCACAGAGAUACGAACAAGAUCUUCAGUGAGACCUCUGGCCUCUCGCAAUGCCACUGGUAUACUUGCAUGGGACAUAA